rnacentral:rRNA from 1 species
GCGCAGGCUGGCGCCUAAGUCGGAGGUGAAAUCUUGCCGCUUAACGGUAAAAUUGCCUCCGAUACUGGGUGUCUUGAAUCUGACAGAGGUCGGUGGAAUUCGUGGUGUAGCGGUGAAAUGCAUAGAUAUCACGAAGAACAUCAGUGGCGAAGGCGGCCGGCUGGGUCAGUAUUGACGCUGAGGCACGAGAGCGUGGGGAGCGAACAGGAUUAGAUACCCUGGUAGUCCACGCUGUAAACGAUGUAUGCUAGUUGUAGGGCUUUCGGGCUCUGUGACGCAGUUAACGCAGUAAGCAUACCACCUGGGGAGUACGUUCGCAAGAAUGAAACUCAAAGGAAUUGACGGGGGCCCGCACAAGCGGUGGAGCAUGUGGCUUAAUUCGAUGCAACGCGAAGAACCUUACCCGGGCUAAAUCCACGAUGACCGGUCCCGAAACGGACCUUCCCUUCGGGGCAUCAUGGAAGGUGCUGCAUGGCUGUCGUCAGCUCGUGCCGUGAGGUGUUGCCUUAAGUGGCGCAACGAGCGCAACCCCUGUGGUUAGUUACCAGCACGUAAUGGUGGGGACUCUAGCCAGACUGCCUACGCAAGUAGUGAGGAAGGUGGGGACGACGUCAAGUCAUCAUGGCCCUUAUGUCCGGGGCUGCACACGUGCUACAAUGGACGGUACAGCGGGAAGCCACCACGCAAGUGGGCGCAGAUCCCGAAAGCCGUUCCCAGUUCGGAUUGGAGUCCGCAACUCGACUCCAUG